GUGGCGCUAUUCACCUCUACAUUGGUUUAGAUACUCUAUUAAACAAAACUUUAUUGGCAACCGCUAACAACUCUCUGCCCCAAUAGUUACAGCGCAGUGCAUAGUCGCAUUUCGACAAGCAUCUGCACGGCCCGGCACGGCUCACCACUACUGUGCUUGACUCGGCUCAUCUCGGUUUAAUUGUUUUUCCAUUACACUGAGUACCACCUCAUUGUGGGUGGAGUCGUCAUAGCACCGCAGCCCGAAAAUCCCUUCAUGUCAUUUGUGUUCGAUACAAACGCAACACAACAACAUACAUGGAGACGAUGGUACACCUGCUGCUCGGUCUGUGGCUUUUGGUCAGAUUCAAAGUAAAAGAAGAGUUGGAGAGAGCUGAGAGUGGCAAGUCGAAACACUCAGGAGACACACAGGAGAGUUUGGGAGGCGAUACAGUAGUAUUAAGCCGAAGACAAGAGGACAUGAACUAGACGACAUAUGAGGAUGGCUCUCUUAUAAGACUUCAUAGGACGUACCUGAAGCAGCAGCACAGGAGCCUGCGGUGGCACAAGGUGUAGAGGAGGAGGGCAGAGAUGUACAGGAUGCACUGAUGCAGUACAUGUCAUGCAAAAGUUAAUUUAUUCUUGUUAUACUUCUAUUUUUCGGUCCCCAGACCGCUAUUGUUUUCUUGAAUGCAAUUCUGACAAUAAACUUUUGUACCUGCUGCA